rnacentral:rRNA from 1 species
GUAGGUGGCAAGCGUUGUCCGGAAUUAUUGGGCGUAAAGCGCGCGCAGGCGGUUCUUUAAGUCUGAUGUGAAAGCCCACGGCUCAACCGUGGAGGGUCAUUGGAAACUGGAGAACUUGAGUACAGAAGAGGAAAGCGGAAUUCCACGUGUAGCGGUGAAAUGCGUAGAGAUGUGGAGGAACACCAGCGGCGAAGGCGGCUUUCUGGUCUGUAACUGACGCUGAGGCGCGAAAGCGUGGGGAGCAAACAGGGAUUAGAUACCCUGGUAGUCCACGCCGUAAACAAUGAGUGCUAAGUGUUAGGGGGGUUUCCGCCCCCUUAGUGCUGCAGCUAACGCAUUAAGCACUCCGCCUGGGGAGUACGGCCGCAAGGCUG